GCAGGUUUAACUCAACGGGAGAGUGCUUCCCUUACAAGGAAGAAGUUAUGGGUUCAAAUCCCUUAACCUGUA
rnacentral:tRNA from 1 species